rnacentral:rRNA from 1 species
UGAGGAACAUGACCUUCGGCGGGGGAUAGCCGGCCCAACGGCCGGGUAAUACCGCGUACGACCACUCGGGGACAUCCCUAGGUGGUGAAAGCAGCAAUGCGCCGAUGGAGUGCCUCGCGGCCUAUCAGCUAGUUGGUGAGGUAACGGCUCACCAAGGCGACGGCGGGUAGCUGGU